rnacentral:misc_RNA from 1 species
AAGAAACGAAAUCUUUUGUGAAUUGCUAAAAUCGUGAAUCAUAAGUUUUCGAACACAUACCGGACUCUGAGAUCUUCGGGUCGAAGAGUGCCUGUUUUCAAAUGUCAGUAUUUGUCAUUCUUCACGGCGUUGCAAUUAGUCUUCGCUUGAAGCGACAGCAUUGCUCGGCAAUCUACGUUGUAUGAACGAAUACUUCGUUAGACGAAGCUGUGUUCCGACUUUCAGUUGGACGCGCGCCCUAACAAUUCUCUAACUGACUUUGAGAACAGGAGGUUACCCGCUGAAGUUAAGC